rnacentral:rRNA from 1 species
AGCAGGCGCGAAAACUUUACAAUGCGGGAAACCGUGAUAAGGGGACACCGAGUGCUAGCAUCAUAUGCUGGCUGUCCAGGUGUGUAAACUACACCUGUUAGCAAGGGCCGGGCAAGACCGGUGCCAGCCGCCGCGGUAACACCGGCGGCCCGAGUGGUGAUCGUGAUUAUUGGGUCUAAAGGGUCCGUAGCCGGUUUGGUCAGUCCUCCGGGAAAUCUAAUAGCUCAACUAUUAGGCUUUCGGGGGAUACUGCCAGGCUUGGAACCGGGAGAGGUAAGAGGUACUACAGGGGUAGGAGUGAAAUCUUGUAAUCCCUGUGGGACCACCUGUGGCGAAGGCGUCUUACCAGAACGGGUUCGACGGUGAGGGACGAAAGCUGGGGGCACGAACCGGAUUAGAUACCCGGGUAGUCCCAGCCGUAAACGAUGCUCGCUAGGUGUCAGGCAUGGCGCGACCGUGUCUGGUGCCGCAGGGAAGCCGUGAAGCGAGCCACC